UGGUCUAUGGUGUAAUGGUAACACAGCAGAUUUUGGUUCUGUUAUUCUAGGUUCGAGUCCUAGUAGACCAACCU
rnacentral:tRNA from 1 species